rnacentral:lncRNA from 1 species
UACAACUUCAGGUUGUCGGCGUUCCACGUUCGGGGAAUGGGUUUUCCCUCCAGAGUCUCCAGUCGGUAGGCUCUCGGACCAUAGGUUUCUGCUACCGUGUAGGGCCCUUCCCAGUUUGGAGCCAGCUUCCCUUGGUCCAGGGGCUUCGAGACCUCUGCCUUUCUCAGGACCAAGUCACCAGGCCUGAAGAGCUUUGGUCUGACUUUGGCAUUGUAAUACCGAGCUACCUUCUGUCGGUAUGAAGCCAUGCN